rnacentral:rRNA from 1 species
UACAGAGGUCCCAAGCGUUGUUCGGAUUCACUGGGCGUAAAGGGUGCGCAGGUGGGUUUGCAAGUUCGAUGUGAAAGCCCCGGGCUUAACCCGGGAAUGGCAUUGGAUACUGCAGAUCUGGAGGAUCGGAGGGGGGACUGGAAUUCUUGGUGUAGCAGUGAAAUGCGUAGAUAUCAAGAGGAACACCAGUGGCGAAGGCGAGUCCCUGGACGAUACCUGACACUGAGGCACGAAAGCUAGGGGAGCAAAUAGG